UAAGUAUUUGCAACUUGGAAAACAUAAUGCACAAAUGAUUUCAGAGUGAUUUGUAUCCAUAAAUCUGUGUUGUAUCUGUGCCUCUAAUUUGUGACUUGUGAAACACAAUGUGUAAAUGAAUGUAGAUUGUUUUGAAUCCGCAGAAUGUGU